rnacentral:rRNA from 1 species
GACGAAACGCUGGCGGCGUGCCUAAUACAUGCAAGUCGAGCGGGGAUUAUGCUUGAUCGCUUCGGUGAGACGGCAUAUAUCCUAGCGGCGGACGGGUGAGUAACGCGUGGGUAAUCUACCUCGUAGUUCGGGAUAACAGGCCGAAAGGCUUGCUAAUACCGGAUGAGUUCAUGCUUAUGCAUAUAGGCAUGAAGAAAGGGCUAGCCCGCUAUGAGAUGAGCCCGCGUCCCAUUAGCUUGUUGGUGGGGUAACGGCCUACCAAGGCAACGAUGGGUAGCCGGCCUGAGAGGGUGUACGGCCACACUGGGACUGAGACACGGCCCAGACUCCUACGGGGGGCAGCAGUAGGGAAUUUUCGGCAAUGGGCGAAAGCCUGACCGAGCGACGCCGCGUGAGGGACGAAGGCCUCGGUUGUAACUCUGUCUGGGGGGAGAACGGACGGUACCCCGGACGGAACGCCCGGCCGUACUACGUAGCAGCAGCCGCGGUAAGAGUAGUAA